AGAGAGAUGGAGAAAGGGAGAGGGUAGAGAGAAAUGGAGAAAGGGAGAGGGUAGAGAGAGAUGGAGAAAGGGAGAGGGUAGAGAGAAAUGGAGAAAGGGAGAGGGUAGAGAGAUGGAGAAAGGGAGGGGGUAGAGAGAUGGAGAAAGGGAGAGGGUAGAGAGAUGGAGAAAGGGAGGGGUAGAGAGA